rnacentral:misc_RNA from 1 species
GAUCAAGAACGUAGCGAAAUGCGAUAAGUAAUGUGAAUUGCAGAAUUCAGUGAAUCAUCGAAUCUUUGAACGCACAUUGCGCCCGCCAGUAUUCUGGCGGGCAUGCCUGUUCGAGCGUCAUUUCAACCAUCAAGCCCCGGGCUUGUGUUGGGGACCUGCGGCUGCCGCAGGCCCUGAAAUGCAGUGGCGGGCUCGCUGUCACUCCGAGCGUAGUAGUUACAUCUCGCUCUGGGCGUGCUGCGGGUUCCGGCCGUUAAAAGCCUUAUUUACCCAAGGUUGACCUCGGAUCAGGUAGGAAGACCCGCUGAACUUAAGCAUAUCAAUAAGCGGAGGA